rnacentral:rRNA from 1 species
GACGAACGCUGGCGGCGUGCUUAACACAUGCAAGUCGAACGGUAAGGCGCUGCUCUUUUUGGGUGGUGGGGUGGCGAAGGGAACAGGAACAUGAGAGGAACCUGCCCUACACUUUGGGAUAAGUUCGCCAAACGGGGGCGAGUCUAGGACGGGAGCUCCUGGUUCUGUGUGGGGGUUGGAAUGGGUCGGCGGUUGGUUCUGGACGCGAGGCGCUUGCGGUCGUUGGUGGGGUUGGUGCGUACGAAGGCUUUGACGGGUAGCCGGCCUGAGAGGGAUACCGGCCACAUUGGGACUGAGAUAGGGCCCAGACUCCUACGGGAGGGAGCAGUGGGGGAUAUUGCAAAAUGGGCGGGAGCCUGAUGGGGCGACGGCGCGCGCGGGAUGACGGCCUUCGGGUUGUGAACCGCGUUCGCCUGUGACGAAGCGUGAGUGACGGUAGUGGGUAAAGAAGCACCGGCUAACUACGUG